rnacentral:siRNA from 1 species
AUAAAUUGUCACCGCGGUAUACCG